AUGACGCAGAAGAAGUACUCUCUGGAUUUGUUGCAGCGAGCUGGGAUGCUUAAGUGCAAACCGACGACUACACCCAUGUCUACCACUGAUAAGCUCAAUGCUGUUGAUGGUGUGCUUCUUUCUUCUUCUGAUGCGACAGAGUACAGGAGUAUUGUUGGUGGGCUCCAGUACUUGACGAUCACGCGACCAGACAUUUCCUAUGUUGUUAACCGAGUCUGCCAGUAUCUGCAGUCACCCCGUGACACUCAUUGGUCUGCUGUUAAGCGGAUUUUGCGCUAUAUUCGUUUCACGGUGGCUCAUGGUUUGCAUAUUCGGCCGUCUGACUCUGGUUGUCUUUCAGCAUAUUCUGAUGCAGACUGGACUGGCAAUCCGGAUGACAGGCGAUCCACGAGAGGUUAUGCUGUCUUCUUUGGCUCUAACCUGAUUGCCUGGAGUGCUCGGAAACAGGCUACUGUCUCGCGUAGCAGUACUGAGGCUGAGUAUAAGGCUGUGGCCAAUGCCACAUCAGAGAUCAUCUGA
rnacentral:rRNA from 1 species